rnacentral:lncRNA from 1 species
GGCUUCGGCUCCACUCCUCUCCCCCGGUCGUCUUUUGGUCGUCCUGGUCGCCCUUGGUCGUCUUUGGGUCAUCGUGAUGGUAGUCGCUGGCCUGCGGAUGUUCCCCAUCAUUGUCGCCAUGGAUUGAUCGCUACCAUCCCAUCAAUUUGGUUCUCAUCCAGGCCUUGGUGGUCUGCCGUGCGGAGUUGGUUUUGGGGCCUUAGCGAAAGAUUUGCCCAGCAUCCGCCAAUGCCGACAACGGUUGCGUUCUUUAAUGUAGCUCACCUAGCUGGGGGUGUUGUUAUGGCCACCAAAUCCAUUUGGUUUUGCCACGUGAAGAUUUGGUCUGCUCCUUCGUGGACAGACAGAUGAUGGCGGCGUUGGCGUCGCUUCCUCCUUGGAGGCAUCAUCUUGUAGGACAUUCUUGCUCUACCUCUGUUGGCUCUGGGUUGUUAGGCAAUCCAUGAUGUGCGUGUGUUCAUGGUGUCCUUGUCUCCUGCAGGUUUCAGUCGUUUUAGGUCGUGUUUAGUGUGGUGGUGGUGCUGUGACUUUCUUUUUUUGUUGUUGUGUUUUUGUUCCCAGCCGAAGGUGGUAGUUCUUGUAAUUCUACGCUUUGAGAUCUCUCCUGAAGUUGCAUCGUUGUAACUCUCUUCUUCUUAAUGAAAAACAUGCUAUGCACGUCUUAAAAGGAGGAGGUGCGCCAGUUUGUACUCUCUAGUCUCUGGUUUCGAGAGUCUACUGCUCGUUAUUGUGAGGCGCCAACCUUCGCUCAGAGUAUUUAUGGACACAAUAUACUCCCUCGAUUCUCU